GUCAGAAUGGCCAAGUGGUCUAAGGCGCCAGACUCAAGUUUCAAUCCUUUCCAGGUAGCUGAGUGUUCUGGUCUCCUCAUGGGGGCACCGGUUCAAAUCCUGCUUUUGACA